rnacentral:rRNA from 1 species
UACGAAGGGGGCUAGCGUUGUUCGGAAUUACUGGGCGUAAAGCGCACGUAGGCGGAUUGUUAAGUGAGGGGUGAAAUCCCAGGGCUCAACCCUGGAACUGCCUUUCAUACUGGCAAUCUAGAGUCCAGAAGAGGUGAGUGGAAUUCCGAGUGUAGAGGUGAAAUUCGUAGAUAUUCGGAGGAACACCAGUGGCGAAGGCGGCUCACUGGUCUGGAACUGACGCUGAGGUGCGAAAGCGUGGGGAGCAAAC